UACGUAGGGUGCGAGCGUUAAUCGGAAUUACUGGGCGUAAAGCGUGCGCAGGCGGUAAGUUAAGUCUGAUGUGAAAGCCCCGGGCUCAACCUGGGAAUGGCAUUGGAAACUGGCUUGCUAGAGUGUGGCAGAGGGGGUGGAAUUCCGCGUGUAGCAGUGAAAUGCGUAGAGAUGCGGAGGAACACCGAUGGCGAAGGCAGCCCCCUGGGCCGACACUGACGCUCAGGCACGAAAGCGUGGGGAGCAAACAGG
rnacentral:rRNA from 1 species